GAUAUUCGCACGCGUGAUUUAGCAAUAACUCGUGCCCAUUCUCCGUUAAAUUAAAAGUGUAUUGAGCCACCUUAACAUAAAGGUUUUAAUUCUGUAAUUACUAAGAGUUAUCUAAUUUCCUAAAGUAUUUUUUUUUAACAAACCCGAGUCCAACAGAGUGUAGCUACUUACGUCUUCUUUCUUCAGCUAGCCCACAGCGCUUAACUUUCCGCGUAGUAUCAAACAUAUAACAGCGUCGUAUCUUGUUUGUUGAGAAUUUCAACGGAUAUGUCUUAUGAACAAAAGCGUGACGAAACUUGCUAUAAACAAUCUGAAUAUUCUUAAAUCGCUUCGAGAUGGUUUUCUGUCGAUCUCAAAUGAACUUGAGCGUAUAUAGUCAGCGAACUUCAGUAUACUUCCAACAAAAGCAAGAUGUCCUUCCAAGUUGUUCUUCUCCUGAAGGUCUUCGUCGGUUUUUUUUAAUGUUUAGGAACUCCUUCCUUGCUUGUCCUGUUUUUCCUCUGCUCGCUUCAAACUCUGGGCUCCUUAUAUAAUCCAUUAAUUUACAUAUUCAUAAAAUAUAAUUAUAAUUAUAAUACAGCUAUUCUUU
rnacentral:lncRNA from 1 species